CUUCCUUCUCCCCCUCACCCCCCACCAGUCUGAAGAAGGGUUUCGGCCCGAAACGUCACCUAUUUCCUUCGCUCCAUAGAUGCUGCUGCACCCGCUGAGUUUCUCCAGCAGUUUUGUGUUCCUUCGAUCUUCCAGCAUCUGCAGUUCCUUCUUGAAAACUCCAAUAUACCUGAGAUGGGAGCCUGCAUCAUCUGACUAAAUAUGAACUCCACAUAGACUGCUACUGCACAACCCUUCCACGAGAAAAAUAAUCUGACCUAAAAUAUCAUUAUCCAUGUUCUCCAGAGAUGCUGCCUUAUUCCCUUAGUAACUUCAGCACUUUGUGUUCCACUUAUGAUGUCAACAUCUGCAGCUCCAUGUGGCUCCAAUGGACUAAUGAUCUGGCCACUGCCCCAGUUCUUCCUUGUCCAGUUGAUCAACUUAAUUGAAUCAAUCAUGUCUGAAGAAGGGUCUCGACUCAAAACUUCACCAAUUCCUUCUCUCCAUAGAUGCUGCCCCACCCUUAGUUUCUCCAGCAUUUGGUGUCUACCUAUGUCUACAUGGCCUUGUCUGACCAACUUGAUUGAAUGGUUCCAAGAUGUAACAGGAUAUAUUAAGAGUUGUGCAAUUGUAGUCAUUACAUGGAGUUCAAUAAGGUCUAUAGCAAAAGGUCUAUAGCAGUAUAUAGGAUCAAGGACAAAUUAGCAAAUUAGAACCAGAAUUGGUCAUAAUUGGCAGGAUGAUAGUAUAUGUUGUGACCAGUGGCGUAGCAUGUCGGUCACAGUGCUCAGCAACUGAGGCUCUGAGUCUGAGCCCUUCACUGUGGAAACGGGGGUCAAACAGGGAUGCAUCAUCGCACCCACCCUGUUUGUCGUCUUCAUUGCUGCCAUACUUCACCUCAUUGGUGAAGAGCUGCCACAGGAUCCCAAUCCUCUACAGAACUGACGGUGGGCUCUUCAACCUUAAUGGGUUGAAGGCCAAGAGCAAAGUCAGUAACACUGCCAUCAUGGAGCUUCAGUACGCGGACGACUGCGCCAAUGCAACACAUUCUACAGAAGACCUCCAGGACAUCCUGAAUGCCUUUGCCAAGGCAUAUAGACCAUGGGCCUAGCCUUAAAUAUCAAGAGGACUCGGGUCCUACAUCAUCCUCCAUCCAACCAGCCGUCUACCCAGCCCACUAUAAAAGUGGACGACACCACACUUGAAAACGUUUGGCCACUUCCCCUAACUUGGCAGCAUUCUAUCCUCUAAAGCUGACAUCGACUCUGAGGUCAACCAUCGCCUGAGUUGUGCCAGUGGAGCCUACGCCAGACUCAGAAAAAGUCUUUGAAGACCGAGACCUAAAGGCUCAAUCAAAACUGCUGGUCUACAGAGCCGUUGUCCUCUCCACCCUGUUGUAUGGAGCCGAGUCAUGAACCACCUACAGCAGGCACCUGAGAGCUGUGGAACAAUACCAUCAAAGAUCCUUACGAAAAAUUCUGAGAAUCAGCUGGGAGAACAAACGCACCAACAUCGGCAUUUUGACGGAAGCCAACAUGACCAGCAUCACCACCACAAUAAUGCAGCACCAGCUUCGAUGGACUGGCCAUGUCAUCCGCAUGUCCAACACAUGUCUCCCUAAACAAAUCCUGUACUCUCAAUUGAAGGAAGGACGGUGGGCCAAAUAAACGCUUCUUGGACAACAUCAAGAACAGUCUGAAGAAAUUCCACGUCACAUUGAGCAACACUGUACUGGACAGGCACUCCUGGAGGAAAUCCGUGCAGGAAGGAGCUGCAUGUCACAAAAUGGAACUACGCCGUGUCGCAGAGACAAAGCGACAGCACCGUAAGGAAAGAGAGAGAAGGGGGCUCGACGACUACCAGCCACCGCCAGUCUCCACUGCCCACGUCGCCCCAAGGUGUGGAUCAUGGAUCGGUCUCUACAGACAUCUGCAGACCCACAAGUAGAUGACCCUAUGGAGAGGAGAGGACAGUCAUACUCGUUUCAAGUGACCUCCAAUGAUGAUAACUGUAGGGAACAGUGCUGGGACCCUUGCAAUAUAAAUUGAAUAACAAUUUGGUUAUGAAUGUAGGAGGUGUGAUUUGCAAGUUUGCAGAUUACCCUAAUUGAUGUUAAUAGUGAGGAGGAUAUUUAGAUCAUUUGACAAUAUGCACAAGAAAAUUGGCAGGUGGGAUUUAGUUCCAGUAAAUACUAUGAAGUGUAGAACACACAAUGAAUGGUAGAGCCCCAUGAACAGGGCGACCUCGUUACCAGUCCAAAGAUUCCUGAUGGUGGCAGCCCAAGUUAGGAAGGCACCGGGGAUACCUGCCUACAUAAGCCAGGGUGUAGAAUAUCAGAGCAGAGGGGUUAUGAUAUAACUUUGUAAAGAUCGGUUCAGCCACAGCUGGGGUGCUGUGUCCAGUUCUGCUUUCCACACUAUAGGAAAGAUGCUGUAUUGGACGAGGUGCAAUGCAGACUCGGCACAUUCCCCUGGGGUGGAGUGUUUUAGUGGUGAGAGACCAGAUGGGCAGAUUUCAUUUCCUCUGUGGUAGAGGAGACUGAAGGUUUCCAGGGGCACCCGCUGAUGGAGGCAUAUAAAAUGGAGGGUUGUAGAAAGUAGGAAAUGUUCUCGGGUAACUGGAGGUAUCUACAAUAAUGGAGGGAAUAAGAUUAGGCUAAAGGGUGGAAGGUUUAGAAAGAAUCUGAGAAAGAACCUUUCACCUGAAAUCUGGAACUUACCACCUGGAGGGGCGUUGGAGGCAGAGACUCUCACAACAGUGAAAUAUCAAGAUGAGAACUUGGAUGGGUAAGACCAAGUGCUGGUACACGGAAUUAAUGUAGAUGGCUGCUUGAUGGUUAGCAUAUGGUGGGCCAAAGGGCCGGUGUUUCAUCUGUGUAAUGUCUCGAAUAAUUGGAUUUAUCUGAGACAAGAAUAAAUAUCUGGCAUUUUUAACACAUUGCUCAGCUAGAGGUGAUACUGCAUCAUCCCUUUUCUAAAUUAUCCUAUAAAUUCCUAACUGCCACUCAUUUUGACAGGGAGAGAAAAAAAUUACACAUUUCAGGCUAAAGGAUAUGUAAAAUUCUGUUCAGUGUAAGGCACUCUGUAGUUUCAAAUUCAAUUAGAGCCGCAUAAAUGGGGAGCUUUAUUCAAAGGAGCACAACUUACAUUGAAUUGUUAAUCACCCGGUGCAAACCAGUCUUUACCACAGUCAGGCUUGUUGACCUGUAUAUAUGAAUUAAACAGAAAUUGUGACUUACUGGUCUGGUGAAUUGUGUUGUUUAAACGUUUUCACAGUAUGAAAUAGAUUUUUGAGCCAAUUAAAUCCAAAAGCAUACAAGGGACAUCAUUUUAAGUUGUCAGUUCUACUCUGAUUCUGAUGUUUCCUGGAGAAAAUCACAAUGGUGGCACCUCUGUUUAAGAAGAAUGUAUUGGAGACUUGGCAACAUCCCACCAGCAUUUCCUGCACAUCGGAGCAGGUUUGAGAGAAUGAGCUGUAAUCCUGCACUCGGCCCCUGGUGUCAGCUCCACCAUUCAGUAAGAUUGCAGCAGGUCCAUUAGCUUGACAGUACUAAGUCCGUCUCCCUUAAUUUCUUUAAUAUCCUAAAAUCUAUCCCUUUGGCAGUACUAAGUUUAAACUGCAGCUUGAGAAACAAUUCUAAAAUAAAACCCCUUAAAACAGUGCAAUCUAUUUUGAUACUGUUGUGCAUCUGACAGAAAAAGAAUUGUUUUCUAUCAAUGUAAGGUGAAGUUUUUCUAAAUCCAUGUGUUCAUGUUUAGCGUAAAGAAACAGCUUGUAAAUGGGGUCCUACGGCCCACCAAAUCCACACCGACCAUUGAUCACCCAUUCAUACUAGAACUAUGCUAUCCCAUCUCCAAUGUAACUCCUUAACCUGAGCUGUGAUUCAGGCUGAAGAAGGAUCUAGAACCUGAAAUGUUGCCUGUCCAUUUCCUACACAGAUGCUGCAUGACCUGCUGAGUUCCUCCAGCCUUUUGUGCUUUGCUUAAGAUUCCACCAACUGUAGUUUCUGUGUCUCUAAUUCUUUUGUUCCACUGACCUGAGGGUUGGCAGAAAAUAGUGAUUCAAACAUAGGGGGACUUGUUUUGCGCACAGCUAAUUAGUUUCUCUUUUCAAGUAGAAUGUCUGUGAGAACUAACCCAAAUCAGCGGGCACAUCAGAAGGAAUGGUAUGACAAUGCCGGAUGUACAUGUAGGAGAAAGCUGCAAAACUGUGUCGUCGAUGAAAGAGCAAUGCUACUGACUGCAGCGCCAGGGUUUCAGAAAUUGAAAUGUGGAAUUCCAAACUUUGUUGUUCUCAAUAAGAUUGUUUUCUCUGGAACGUCAGAGGCUGAGGGGGACCUGAUGAAAGUAGAUAAAAUUAUAAAUGGCAGAGAUCGGGUAGACAAAGGCUACCCACCCCACCUCCCAGGAUGGAAAUUGGAUCAAAGACGUGAGGGCAUAGCUUUAAGGUGAGCGGGGCUAAGUUUUAGGGAGAUGUGCGGGGCAGGUUUAACAUUAUGAGAGGAAUAGAUUGGAUGAAUGCACAUUCUUUAUCCUAGGGUUAAGGAAUCGAGGACCAGAGGAUAUAGGUUUAGGGUGCGAGGGGACAUUUAAUAGAUACCUGAGCGGCCACUUUAUCUCCCAGUGGGUAUAUGGAACGAGCUGCCACAGGAGAUAGUUGAGGCAGGUUCAAACACAAUACUUAAUGGACAUUUGGACAGGUGCACUGAUAGGAAAGGUUUGGAGGGACAUGGGCCAAAUGCAGGCUCAGAUCGGGGAUUCUGGUUAGAACGGGCAAGUUGGGCCAAAAGGCCUGUUGUCGUGCUGUGUGACUCUGGGAGGGGAGGUGAAAUUCCUGUGUUAAAACGUCAAACUUCACACGGCCUUGCUAAUCUUUAUCGGUUGAAUCUGUUAGUUUGCUUCGGAAAGAAAUACAAUUCUAGAAUUAAAAUCAUCCGAUUAGGCAAAUGGAGCAUCUUCCUUAAAUACUUCAUCUGCACAAAUUGUGCUCAUUUUAGUGAUUUCAGAUGGAAUGUCAAAUAUUUAUGGUAUUUUAAUUGGAACUGUAUAAUUAGAGAACUGAAAAGUCGACAUAAAAUAUUCACAAGCUAUUGUAAGUGUUGAAUCUGUGUAUUCUCUCUUCAGUGACUUUAGAUUAAAUGUCAAAUAUUUAUGGAAUUUUAAUUGGAUUUUUAAAGCUUGAGGACUUUGGAGUAUUUUCUUUCCUAUCUCAGGAGUGCUCAUUAAAAUAAUGAGGCUCUGAAUAAUUUUUUUGUGUCAUUUCAAAGAUAAGAUUCAGAAAUAAUAAAGUAGGAUUCCGAAUUUGACCU